rnacentral:misc_RNA from 1 species
UGAAUUGCAAUGCUCUUUCCCUCUUCCCAUUGUUACUUGCUUCUUGCAAUUUUUGGUUUAUUGUUUGACUUUCAAGUUAUGCUACGUGAUAUCUUGGAUCCCAUUAUGCUUGGGGCUGCAUCUUUAUUCCAAUCACAUUAGUUUUUCUAACAAAAUUAACAAGUAUGAUUUGAAUUACAAUAUCAGUCGCAACUUUUAUUUUAGUGUAAAUUAGCAAAA